CAAUAGAGUAUAUUUAAGUUGCUGCAGUUAAAAAGCUCGUAGUUGGAUUUCGGGUGGGAAUGGCCGGUCCGCCGUUUCGGUGUGCACUUGCUACGCCCACCUUGCUGCCGGGGACGUGCUCUUGAGUUCACGCUCGGGACACGGAGUCGGCGAGGUUACUUUGAGUAAAUUAGAGUGUUCAAAGCAGGCCUACGCUCUGAAUACAUUAGCAUGGAAUAACACGAUAGGACUCUGGCCUAUCUUGUUGGUCUGUAGGACCGGAGUAAUGAUUAAGAGGGACAGUCGGGGGCAUUCGUAUUUCAUUGUCAGAGGUGAAAUUCUUGGAUUUAUGAAAGACGAACUACUGCGAAAGCAUUUGCCAAGGAUGUUUUCAUUAA
rnacentral:rRNA from 1 species